GAAAUUAUGUAUACUUUCACAUAAAUUACUCGUUAAAUUUACGUAGAAUUAACAAAGAAUAUACUUUGAUUCUUGUUUUUUUUCUAUAUAUAAAAUUCAGAAUUAAUUAAUGAACAAAAAUUAUAAAAAAUAAAUAAAUAAUGGAAAAAUCCAAAAAAUAUUUUAUAAAUAUUUAAGUUUUAAAUUUAUAGUACAAUAAAAAAAGAAAAAAAACUAGCUAGGGGUUAUGGAACUUCGGGAAGUACUCAUGACUACUCCUUCUCUCCAUCUCCUCCUCCUCCUCUGUGGAUCAUUGUCUGAAGAAGAUGAUGUUACUGCAUGACUACCGGGCGCACCAAACAGAUUUCUGUAAUGAGGUGUCAGCUUGUUUUUCCUAACAAUCUGAAAAAGAAUUAAUUAGAUUAAUCAAGUAACAUUUAAAAUUUCUCAUCAUGUAAUCUACAAAUUCCAUAAAUUUGUCUACAAAUUUUCUAUACUAACCAUCUAAUCAAAUCCUAAUUCCCCUAAAC
rnacentral:lncRNA from 1 species